UUACGGUCAUAACACGCUGUAACAGCAGUUCCCGUGCUAUCACCGAGGUUAAGCAAUGUCAAGCCUGGUCAGUACCUAAAUGGGUGACCGCUUGAGAAUACCAUGUGCUGUAGG